CGCUCGCCUCAGAUUUCCAGAAUUUCAAAUUCCAAAGAUCUCUUCCAAAUUUUCAACCAAGAAACAAAAAUUCAUCAAAAAUCCGCUGCCAAGAAACGGAAAGUUAAGAAAACUCCGAAGAAGGCCGUGAAACGAAAAUUGAUUGAAAUCAGCGAUUCUUCCCCUUCUCUCUGAGAUGGAUAUUUUGCGUGAAGAAGAAAGAAGAAAUCGAGAAAUUUGAGGAGCAGGAGGAGUGCUUCAUCCUCGAAUUCGAUCCCUACAAUAAUUUGGAUGCGAUAAAAUUUCCCAGCACUAUUAUUGGUGAGGAGGAGGAGUUGAGCUUUGUUGCUGAGAAGGGCCAGGUUGCCUGCACAGACUAUCCACACCUGUGCGCGAUUUCCCUUUAAAAACACGCCACACCACAAGCACUGCACACUGUGCUACUGUUAUGUGUGUGAUGUAUCUGCUCCGUGUACGAGGUGGACUGGAGCAGCCGCCCAUUGUCAUGCGUUCAACGAUGAAGUUUGGGACAAGAAUGUAUAGUUAGCUAGCGUAGAAAUGGUAGUGUUUUGUUUUUGUUGUUGUUUAGUUCGAUGCUAAACUUUACUAGAUGAAAGGGGUCUCGUUCGGGAGGUGAUUUUGUUCAUAAAUAUAUGAAGCACCUUAUCCACUA